GCCUGGAUAGCUCAAUUAGUUAGAGCGUGGUGCUGAUAACACCAAAGCUGCAGGUUCGAUCCUCGUAUGGGACA